rnacentral:rRNA from 1 species
UGGGGAAUUUUGGACAAUGGGCGCAAGCCUGAUCCAGCCAUGCCGCGUGCGGGAAGAAGGCCUUCGGGUUGUAAACCGCUUUUGUCAGGGAAGAAAUCUUCUGAGUUAAAUACCUCGGGAGGAUGACGGUACCUGAAGAAUAAGCACCGGCUAACUACGUGCCAGCAGCCGCGGUAAUACGUAGGGUGCAAGCGUUAAUCGGAAUUACUGGGCGUAAAGCGUGCGCAGGCGGUUUUGUAAGACAGAGGUGAAAUCCCCGGGCUCAACCUGGGAACUGCCUUUGUGACUGCAAGGCUUGAGUGCGGCAGAGGGGGGAUGGAAUUCCGCGUGUAGCAGUGAAAUGCGUAGAUAUGCGGAGGAACACCGAUGGCGAAGGCAAUCCCCUGGGCCUGCACUGACGCUCAUGCACGAAAGCGUGGGGAGCAAACAGGAUUAGAUACCCUGGUAGUCCACGCCCUAAAACGAUGUCAACUGGGUUGUUGGGAAGGUUCCUUCUCAGUAGCGUAGCUAACGCGUGAAGUUGA